rnacentral:rRNA from 1 species
GAUGAACGCUGGCGGCGUGCCUAAUACAUGCAAGUCGAGCGAACAGAUGAGUUUCUUUCUCCUCUUACGUUAUCGGCUGACGUGUGAUUAACACGUGUAUAACCUACCUUUUAUACUGGGAUAACUUCGUGAAACCUGAUCUAAUACCGUAUAAUAUUUUGAACCUCAUUGUUCUAUAGUUUAAUACGUUUUUUCUGUCACUUAUAGAUUCAUCCUCGCCGCAUUAGCUAGUUGGUAAGUUAACGGCUUACCAAGGCAACGAUGCGUAGCCGACGUGAGAGGGUGAACGGCCACACUGGAAGUGAGACACGGAACAGAGACCUACGGGAGGCAGCAGUAGGGAAUGUUACGCAAUGGGGGAAAGCAUGACGGAGCAAAGCCGCGUGAGAGAUGAAGGACUUAGGAUCGUAAAAAUCUGUUAUUAGGGAAGAAAAAAAGUGUAAGUAACUAUGCACGUAUUGACGGUACCUAAACAGAAAGCCACGGCUAACUACGUG